GUCACAGUCAAUGGGAAUAAUACAACAUGAAGACAGGACGCAUUAAUAUUCACAAACAAAGACGAUACUGAAUGGGCUCCUCUGUUGCGCCGUACUGCUUGCUUUGAAACCUAUUCGGAUGGCGCGAGAUACGAUACGCUUUACUUUCUUAUUGCGUGAAAGUGCUUGAGCGACCGUCGGGAAAGAUUUUUAGCGGGGAAGGCAG
rnacentral:lncRNA from 1 species